CACACACACACACACACACACACACACACACACACACACACGCCUCGCCCUCCCUCCCUGUCUUCAUCUUCUCCAUUCCGGGUGUUCUAAACCAAAUCAGAUCAAUUUUCGUUCAAUCCAAUGGAACCCCGGAGACUCACCGUCCCCGGAGUUUGCGUUCUUUGCGCACCGCUGCGGCGCACUCUAGACCUAGGGCAGAAACCCGAGUCUCAACUUUGGCCUCUUGGUAGUCUUUUGACUGGAAUCAAGCUCAAGUCUCUUGGAAGCCACUUAAUGAUGUUGGCUGAGUAAUGAUGUCGCCUGAGGUGAUACCAUUCACGAGGCAGAGGAGAGGAUCCGUGCCAUGUAGAGUGCCAUGAUUCUACUUACAGACCUAUGGAUGGGGUCAUGCGUGAAGAUAAGGAAGGACCUCCACGGCACCGGUCCAUGCGGAUUCCAUGACCAGGCAAGUCGAAGGCCAGCUCAGAAGCAAGGAGAGGAAGCACCUGCCACUAGGCCCCCAGUUGGCGGCCUGGUUUGGGGAGCUGGUGAGACUUUGGUGAUGUGGGGUCUUGUGGAGGAAGUGUGUCACUCUCUUUGCUUUCUGAGUGUGGCUGCCGAUGCAACCUUUGAGGCUCCUGCUCCGGCUGCCAGCCGCCGAGCCUAUCCUGCUGUUACAGCCAUCCCUCUGGAACCAUCAGCCAAAAUAGCCUCUUCCUUCUGUAAGUCCCCUUUGUUCAUGGUGUUUUAUCCCGGCACCAAAAAAUUACUAAUGCAGUUGGUGGUGACUUUAUUUGGAAACAAACCUCCACAGAUUUGGGGAGCUGCAGAAUUGGGGCUCAAGACCAAGUCCCUCUAAUUCCAAGUCUAUACAUUGAAUUUGGGUCCUUUCCUUAAGCUCAGCAUGGUAUAACCCCUUCCACAUCUCACCCUAGGUCUUCGUAGGAGCCUGAGAGCAGUCUGAGUACAAGCGGCUUACUGGCAAGGUGGUUCUCUCUGCUCAGGCCCCUAGCUGUCCCUGUCUUUCCCAUCCAAUAGUGUUUCUGGCUGCAAAGAGCUAUGAUUAAAACUUGCAUCAGUGAUUCCAGUACUUUGGAGGUGAAGACAAGAGGAUCACAGGUUCCAGUCCAGCCUGGGCUACAGAGCAAGACCUUGUCUCAAAAGUCAGCACUCAGCCUUCACAUGAGUGCAUAUGCACACACAUCCUUCCUCUGCCGUGUGUGGUAGAGUUUGUUUUGGUAGUUGCAAAGAACCACAUGGCCAAGUCUUCGUUCUCUGUGUAGAUUCCUCCCAUACUAACUAGAGACUGGUCCCAGCUUUGCUCAAGUAAAGGGAUUGUUAGUAAACCUAGGCAGGCAGAGGCUAAAUGAGAGCUUGCAAGUAUCUUUUUUUCUUGUAGCCCAAAUGCCACAUUGUUGGGAAGUCCAGGCCAUUCCCAAAAUAACACAUUUUUAUUAAUAAAAUAAAUAUCCAGGUAAGAAAUGUACAGAAAGUUUACAAGAAGCCCCAGGAGCAGGUCAACUCUGGGCACUCCUCAACCAAUGUGGAUUUGAAGCCCUACCUCGUCUGGGGACUGUGUUAGGCUCAGGUGCUGUUAGUACUUUUGUCUAGAAUAAGUUUGGAAGCGCUCAGAUGUGACUGAAAUCCCCCAGGGCAGCAGCAGCAAUAGGAGGAGGAGGAGGAGGAGGAGGAGAAAGAGGAAGAGGAGGAGGAGGAGGAGGAAGAGGAGGAGGAAACAGUCUUAGAAGAGAGAAAACAUUUGAGAGUUUGGCCCCUAAGUUCCUUGGUUGAGUGUGGGCAAAAGUAAUUACUGAAUGACAGCGUCAUGCCUGGGCCAUGAGUUUUGUACCAGACACUGCCUAUGUAACAAAACUAUGGAGAAAAAGAUUUAAUCUCUAUAAAAUAAGUGAAGUCACUAAAACUUCUUCCCAUUCAAAUCAAAGUCACCAAGUAAAUACAUCCCCCAAACUAAAGAAUGUUCCAGAUUCCAAUGUCAUUAAUAAAGUUUAAUUUGCUUUCCCA